rnacentral:lncRNA from 1 species
GAAGGACGUUGACCAAGGUCACAGGGCAGGGACAGCAGGGCCUGGCCACAGCAGGCAUUCAGAAGACAUUGUGGCCCCAACCCCACACACACCGGAUCAGUUCUAGGGUUGGGACAGGGCCCGUCAGCCAAGCAGGUGGGUCCCGGAGGAGCUGGGAGACUUGGAGAGGGGGCUGCGCUACCCAGUGGAGCUGAGUCGCUCUAAUGAAGUGGACUAGCUGCAGGCCACAUUGAUUUCACGUCUCUGU